UUUAACACGGGAUGUUUAGAAUACAGAAUUAUGCUUAUGAGAGAGUGGCUCGGGAAUGAGCUUCAAGAUGGGUCGAAUGGACUCUGAAAAUAGCUUUUUAUUUUGACGCAAGCCCAGUCCGGAUGACAUGGCAUCUUGGUUGGUUCAUAAUAUUUUAUCCAUGUGGCAUGGCUUAGAAAGAAGGGAUUUAGUCCCUUUUAUAUAGUAGGAUUGAAACUAAAAUAAAAAACCAAAGAGAACAAAACACAGCAUCAAAUACUUUACGUAGCGAUAUCUUAUACAAUAAAGUAGGGUAUACUCUCUCCUCCUUCUUCCACGUCCUUAAGGAGGAUGGGGCUUUUGUUGCCACGUGUCGCAACAUAAGAGCAGUUCUGAUUUCCAAGUAAUGCGGUUUUUCUAAUGACACACAUAUUCAAAAUGGACUUUUGUUAUAAUUUCAUUUUGAGCCCAAUCUUUUAGCCCACUCCACUGAACAGCCCACAUGGAAUUAGGUUUCUCCUUCCUUCCUUCUUCCUCUUGCGGCUGCGACCUCCCCCGAAGAAAUUCUACAGAAAUUUAACGCUCCCUUUGAUCUCCGUAACGUCUCACCAAUCCGUUAAUCCGUUCUUUACUCUGAGUUUUUCCUUGAUUAAUCCACUCCUCCACUUGAAGCCUUCGAUCUACCUUUUCAUUUUCCACUGUAACCGCCUGAAGCUCAGCUAUAAAUAUUGGACCUUCCUAGCAUGCACAAUUCAACUCAAAUAAGAUCCAGAAACAUACUUUUUCCUAGCAACCGAUUCCGAUGGCGACUUCAUACACUCUCCUUGCCGAGUUCAAUAACAACUUCGACUUCUUCCACGCUUCUUGCCGACUUGGAUGAGAAGUCAACGCUUUUCCUAGGGACCGUGAAUACCAACCGACUCCGAAGCCUCUAUGAAUAUGGCUUCUUUGCAGCUUCAUUUCUUUGAAUUUAAGGCUGGACGGUGUAGACAGUGGGUUGAGCCGUUGACGCAAGGCUUAUACGUUUCUGGAAAGCACACAAGGUUAACAAAAGUGGAGAGUUCAUGGGUGUAGAUAUGCUUUUGGUCGAUGGUAAGGUAAUCUUACUGAUAUCACUUUGUAUACUUUUACAUAUCGAUUUUGUACUUCUGGAUAUUUUCUCUCCUUCAGUUACUUCAUAGUAGACGUUGAGGCUUCUAUUAACGUUGACCGGCUCACCACCUUCAAAUAACUGCUCGACGAAGGAGCUCUUUAUAAUCUGAGUUUGUUCGAUGUAACACGGAGCAGCCAAACUUUUUCUUCACUGACGCACAUGUUGUUACAGAUUCACUGAUCAAACCCGUUUACUUUGAGAUUACGGAAGCCAGUUCCCCUAUCCCCACAGAGAUCUACAGAUAUCCUAGGAGAAGUGAAAGGAUUCCUUUGCACUGCAAGGUUGAGGAAACUGAUAAUAGACGUCCUGAAGUGUUAACGUAAACUGAAAAGAGGAUUCUUAUCAUUCACCUGCGCAGCAUGCAAUGAUGAGAACGCCAUUGGAGUUGUAAGGUAAUAAAUUUUGAAUACACUAUCGACCAUUAUUCUAACCGCUAACUAGGAGAGCCUUUUCCAUGUUACCUAUCUCAUUGUUAUUGUCUACUUGUCUCUGUAAUUAUUCAUAAUGAACUUUUUCAUGGUGUAUUAACUACAGAGGGUCCACCACUCCAUGAGGAUGGGCGCGCCGGAAAAAGGCCUGUAAUGCUUAAUUUCCCACCUUUGAGAGUUGCCAAAUGGAAGUCCACUCUGCUGCUACUUGGUAUUGUCUUUUCUAAAGUUUGAAUAAAUUGUAUAGGGUUUUACAUCUUAUUUUACGAAAACUAUUGCCUUGACAGUUUUAAAUAAUAUUUGCCUUUCAUGCAGCUCAUUAUCUGUUGUUGUUGUAAAGUAACCUUGGUUAUCUCACCGGUUAUAUGGUUCCCCGCAGGAGCACUGCAAACAUCAUGAUUUGAACCUAAAAACUUAUAUUUUAAUCAGAACUCACAGUAUUUUAAGGUUUGGAAUCUGUGUUAAGGUUGCUGGUAGUGGGCCUGUGAGCUGAUUGUUCUGUAAGCUCAUAAUGUGUCCACAAGUUGGAACAUCAAGAAAAAUGUACGAAAAGACAAAACUGGAAUGUGAAACACAAAAUUUUAUGAGUCUAACAAAUACAAAGUGUCCAGCUGCAUGAGUUUAGAGACUGAGAAGGGUAUGUUUCCAUAUAACAGAUUAUCAAAGGAAUGCCUAACAAUGGAUCGGAGCAUAUAUAUCUCAUAUAUAAAAACAUUAAAGAUAUGUUUUAUAAGUAAGACUUACAGAUAAACAAGAGAAGCACAGUUCUAAUCUCAUAUGAAAUUUGACUGUUUAAAAUCAUCUCAGCAAGUAGAUAUACGAAAGCCAAAGUCGACACACUAACUUGACCAAUGACAAGGACAGUCACAGUUAUAAACAUCAUGGUUCUUACAGCAUUAUUACAUUUACCUGUCAUGUUUCUCAUCUUGAUCACCGCCGAUUUUUUAUUCAAGAAGAAAAUAAGAAUUACGUAGGAAUAGGAUUAAAUCACACAUGAAACUGAAUAAAGUCACUUCUACCUACAUUCUUUGAUGUAACAAGUGGAUACGUUAUAAUUGUUAUUAUACUUACAAUUCUACAUGUUUGAGGCUGAAGCGAUUGUUAAAAAUAGUGGCAUGUAAUUUGAGAAUGUCUCAAGGCUUAUAAAGAAAUAUUACGAUAAACUCGGGUACUUUUAGAAUAUUAAAUUUUUUAUUAUUAGAACCAUUACAUUUACACAUAUUUUCCUUUUUAAAGUUAUAUAUUCUGGAUAAGCUAUCCUGGGAAAAUAGUCAAUUCAGUUUCGAAAAAUGCUAAACCAUGAUUAAAAAAUCCACUUACUGGAUUCAAAAUAUUUUGACAAAUUAUUUAACCGUCCACAAAGAAGCUCCUAACAGAUUACAAAGAAUUUAUUAUCUUCAUUCAAACACGAUAAUCACAAAACAACACACAUGUAUUUACAUGUUUUCCUUUUAGAGCAUCAAUUUUACUUUAUGUUUUAAAUUCACUUAUAUUUACUUUAGUGCAAAAUCAGCUAUAUAUAUUAUUUUUAUUGAAUUGAUUAGUAAAAACCAUUUAUGAUAUUUUUCUUUGACCUAAGAAACUUCAAAACAUAGCAAUACAUUAUUAUAACUAACCAUUUUCAAAUGGAUUAAACAAACAAUUUUGAACUUAUUAGAAAAUAGAACAUAUGAAUCCGGCGCGUAGCGCCGGAAUAUCACUAGUCUUUAUAUAUAAAGUAGAGUUUGAAUCUCUCCUAGGGUGUCCACCUAGGAUUCCAGCUCACUAAUUCAAGUUUUGUGCUGUUAACACGUGUCCCUCUCCUAAAUGCGCAGCGUUUCAUUAAUACGUAAUACUGGUGAGUUGGGCUUAUUUUAUUAUACAUACAUUUUGAUUAUGUGGACUAAACUAAUACAAACUUGGCCCGUUAGCUGUUUUCCCUGCUAAAGCUGUACCGCCAUUAGGGUUCAUCGUUCUCUGCAAAUAUGCUAGAUCUACCAUCUAUGGAGUAAUGGAAGUCUCAUAGAGACGAAUCUUGAGUGGUAGUCAGUGCGUCUGUGUCUGUUGGCAUCUUUUUGUAUUUGAUUCUUCUCAACACAGACGUUACGAGAUCAUUGAUUCAAUAUCAUUAAGGAGUUCUUUACUCUUUCAGCCCACUACAACCACGAUCACACAUUCAAUGUCUUUCUAUCCUCUUCCAAGCGGUGGAUCUCCACCUAUAAAUAUAUUCUUCCAGAAACGUGAGUUUAUGGGAGUUGACAUGAUCCUCCUCGAAGCUGAGUCAAGUGAAUGUCAACCGUCUUGCUCCACCAGCAUGAUGAUGGACAAAGGGUGUUGUUACACCUGUUGCUCCAUGUGGAUCGAAGCUUCAACCGACUGUCUCAGCCUUUACUUGCGUGACCUGCAACAACACUAAUGUUGUUGGUGUCCUCUGGUAUGUAGAACCCUAAACACUUUGUUUUCUUAGCUUUAGAUACCUUUUAAAUUAGUUAAUUUGAUUAAUUAUUCUUUUGUUUUUGAUAUAAUGAAUGAUUUAAUAUUUUUAAAAUUAUAGAUUAUGAAAGGUACUCACAGCAAUGUGUAUAAGGGCCUGAAUCAUCAUAAAGUUAUUAGCUCUCUACAUCGUUUUCAGUCUAUGGAGCAUGAUCUCCCUGGCCUUCCUGCAACUCAAGACGGGCAAUGAUGACGAUGGAGAUGAUAUGCCUGGAAUGAACUCAGUCUCUGCUAAGGUGGACGUUGGUGGUAGUGCUCUUGAGGGAGCACCGACUACAUUAGCAGGUCCAAGUGAUCUCGACACUAAGAAGCCUCCAACUCGAGCAUCUUUGAAGAUGGCCGAGAAAGCACGCAUGGCAUAUGUAUUUCCUAUUUGCAUAAUGCUAAUGCAUCAAUGUUGCUUAACGAGUUUUUUUUCUUUCGUUCUAUCCCUUUGGGUUUGCUAUGUUUUGUUCAAAUGAUGUUUAAAAAUAUUUCUAAGAUUAAAUAAAUUGAUGUAUUUAUCACAUGUUUAAUCAUAUUACGGUUCCAUUUAGAAAUGCAUCACUUAAACAUGUAGAUAUCUUCUCUUUCAAAAAGCUAUUAAAUAUAUUUUAGACAUCAUUUAUGAUAUUAUUAUACUAUUUAUAUAGUAUUUUAAAAUUAUGUUAAACAAUUGAGCUUGGAGCUAGACUAAUUUAUUAUCAUGAAAAAUGAAUUAAUGUAUUUUUUUUUAAACUUGAAACUUCAUGAAUUAAAUAUAGUAAUAUUUUAUUUAAACUUUAAUUUUCUUUUAUUAUGUCAAAGUGAAAUAAAAUAAUAACAAGAUAUAUAUUAUUACAUUUUUUAUUUUUUUUUCUAAUUAUGUUUCUCUGAAAAAUAAAGAAUAAAAAAGUUUACUGUCACUUUAAUUCAAACCAAAAAUGAUUAUUCAAAAUUCUAUGCAUUAUUUAUUUGUUUAUAAUAGCGUUUUAUCUAUUAUGUUUUUUUUUAAAUCACAACAUUAAUAUAAGUUUAUAUAAAAUAGUAUUUAUUAUAAUUUCCCGCCCGUAAGGCGGGCCGGCCCUAGGACGACACGUCACUAAUUCGUGCAACAUGAACUUGACACGUGUCUCAACUUUGAAACGCAUCGUUUCAUUAAAUCGGUUAUCAAUUUGUUUAUGGGUCGCUACGGGCCUGUACAAAAGUUUAUCUAAACCCAAUUCUGAUCUACUUAAAAUGGUCUCCUCUCAUAGACUCUCCGUAGCCGCACAAAAUUCUCUAACCCUAAGUUCUUUGAUCUCUUCAUCUUCUUGGCAAAAAUAAUCUCAAAACGUUAAGCGUCUGUCUGGAUCGAAUCGUCAUCUUCAACAGACUCAUAAACAAAUUUAGUGCAUCCCCUUUACUUCCUUUCUCAGAUUCUUCAACUAUUACUCCACUGUCAAGGUUACUUCCUUUCUCAGAUUCUUCAACUAUUACUCCACUGUCGAGGUUAACCUGCUUAGGUUCUGAGAAGCUGGAAACAUGAAGCUUGGUAGCAAGCUUAUGGGAUAUACUCCUCAGCGAUGCAGAGGCUACAAAAACAGAUUCCAGAAUUUUAUUAGGUAUUUUCCUGAAAUGGGAGACGGGAUUGAAGAAAUAGAAUCAGAAGGUGUUCCCGAAGAGUUUUAAGGAGCCAAAGUCAUUGGAUCCAGAAGCUUCCCUUGCCCUUGGUACCAAAAGGUACCCCUCUUGCUUGCGCUUAGUCCUAGAAUUAUCUCCGAAAUUGCUCGCUUUAAGCCUGACAUCAUUCACGCUUCUUCUCCUGGGAUUGUGGUUUUUGGUGCUUUGGCAAUAGCAAAAAUGCUAUCUAUACCAAUAGUAAUGUCUUAUCACAUACACGUCCCUGUGUAAGCUGUAGUUGAAAAGCGUGGGAAGAACCCUAUUUGUUUGGUUUUGGCUCCGACAAGAGAGCUUGCUGGUUAUGUUGAAAAGUAAUUCAGAGAAGCUCUAUCUCUCGGUGAUGCACUGAACAGAAGAGUGAGAACGGUCUGGAUACAUCAACAGCAGGUGCAUAUACAUGUAUAUAGCCAUGUCCAAUAAUUGGUAAAUAUGUUCCUGUCUAUAUCACCAUUGGUGACGAAGAAAAAUUGAAGCAUCAACACCACUGCAAAGGAAGUAGAUGCAGCAGAAGCCGAAGCAAAAGCAGCUAUAGCUUACACUGAUGAAGCUUCAAAGACACUGAGAGGACGAAACAUCUGCAAAAUGGUGACAGAGGAGGAAGAAGAAUGUGUUGCAGGAGAAGAGAGAGAGAGAAGCCUAGAAGUAGUAUAUGCUGAUGAUUUUCUACUUGGAAACUCUUUUUAGUUGUAACCAGUAAUCUCAGAUGCUAAAACUCUUCAUAUAUGUAACAAAUUAUCCUUUAGCUAGAGAACUUUUAGCAGAUUAAAAAUGUGUUAGAUAUUGUGAAAUUGGAAAGAUAUGUGGGCAAGUUAUACUGUUAUAGCAGGUAAAAAUAUUUGUUUUAUAGUCUGAGAAAGAAUCGGUGGAGCCAUUAA